AUCAAUUAUAAUAAUCAAUUGAGACUUAUUUUUUUAUCACAUGGGAAAACAAGGAUUCCACACACUCUGAAAUGGUGUAACACUAAUCGUUUGACAAUCCUGCUUCUUUUCAUACAAUGUUUUACGGUAUACUUCUUUUCUUUUCAAUUUUACAAGUGUACCAUUUUUUUUUGUGGUGUAUGCUUUUUUUGUUACAAUAUUCUUUUUGCUCGUACUUUUCUUUUCUUGUUAUUAGUUCAAUAUUUUUUGUUUUCUUCUUUUACAAAUUUGAACAAUAGGUUAAUUUAAUAAUUUAAUUUGUAAUGAUUUUGUUGAAGAAACAAACAGGUUUUUAGUAAUGGAUGUCAAUGUUUUUGAAGAGAUUCCAUGUUAGAAAUGGGAAGAAAAAAAAAGCAAGGGAGGAUCUUGUUUUGACAAUUAAUGAUUAUAAUUAAUUCAUUCUCUUCAAUUUGAAGAAUGUUUUGAUAAUGUUCAUUUUCCAAUGUG
rnacentral:lncRNA from 1 species